rnacentral:rRNA from 2 species
UAAUACGAAGGGGGCUAGCGUUGUUCGGAAUUACUGGGCGUAAAGCGCACGCAGGCGGUGGUCAUAGUCAGAAGUGAAAGCCCUGGGCUCAACCCGGGAAUUGCUUUUGAUACUGGACCGCUAGAAUCACGGAGAGGGUAGUGGAAUUCCGAGUGUAGAGGUGAAAUUCGUAGAUAUUCGGAAGAACACCAGUGGCGAAGGCGACUACCUGGCCGUCGAUUGACGCUCAUGUGCGAAAGCGUGGGGAGCAAACAGG